GCCGUUUCCGUUUGGCGCAAGGCGAUUUACACGAGUCCGCUCCUUUUUUAAUGGAUCGUCCCACUAGGCACUAACUUAUAUGAGAAAACAUGUGGAGCCUAAAUAUGAAAUUAAACUAGGAGGAUGCCAUGUCAUUAUCGUGUCUGGUCGUACCUCAAAGCUGAAUAAGAAAGAUAAUCGUGGAUCAAGUCAAUUGCGUCUACACCUUUGGCGCAUAUUCAAACUUUAUAUUUAGAUAAUUGUUAACUUACUGUAAUAGUGAUGGGACUUGGGAGUACACAUCCUGGCUCUGGCUCCUGCA
rnacentral:lncRNA from 1 species